AACCCCCUUGGAUCCCCUUCCACACUGUGGGAGGUUUGUUCUUUUGCUCUUUGCAAUAAAGCUUGCUGCUGCUCACUCUUUGGGUCCAGACUGUCUUUAUGAGCUAUAACACUCACCGGGAAGGUCUGCAGCUUCACUCCUGAAGCCAAGGAGACCACGAACCCACCGGGAGGAAGGAACAACUACAGACACGCCGGCUUAAGAGCUGUAGCACUCACUGCGAAGGUCCGCAGCUUCACUCUUGAGCCAGAGACCACGAACCCACCAGAAGGAAGAAACUCCAAACACAUCCGAACAUCAGAAGGAAAAAACUCCAGACACGCCGCCUUUAAGAACUGCAACACUGCGAGGGUCCGCGGCUUCAUUCUUGAAGUCAGUGAGACCAAGAACCCACCAAUUCCAGACACACUACCAAAGGCAGAGGGGAGCUCCUAGACAAAGAGACAAGGUCUUGCUCUGUCACCCUGGCUGGUCUUGAACUCCUGGCUUCAAGCAAUUCAUCCAUCUCAGCCUCCUGAGUAGCUGGGAUUACAGAAAAAACAGUGAAGCAUAGACAGUUUUUGCAAGAGGCCCAAGAUCAUACAUCAAAUAUGUGCACAGCCAGGACCUGAACCAGUUGAUAUCUACAAAUGCCUGGCUUUUGCCACUGGGCUCCUUCAGACACCAAGGAAAGACCAUAUGAGCACACAGCAAGAAGGUGGCUGUCUGAAAAUCAGGAAGAGGAACUUCACCAGAACAUGACUCCAUCAGCACCUUUAUCUUGCACUUCCACCCUUCAUAACUGUGAGAAAUAAAUUUCUGUUGUUUAAGCCA
rnacentral:lncRNA from 1 species